CCUCAAACAGUCGAGGUAGUGACUCGGAAAGUUGAUGCUGAUGCUCUCUGAAAAUUAGCUUUAUUCGACUGACAUGAGAAAUCUGUUCAAAUGUUGGGUGCUUGGAAGAAACGCAGCAGGUGAUACGGCCAAAAUAAUUACAUCUCUAAUAUUUACUGUUAUCUGCCUAUCCAAUUGAUCACACGUACAAAGAUCAUCGCCACUUUCAAGCAACUAAGCCACUUUCUCACUCUCUUGUGAUUUCAGUGCGGUUCGAUACAAAGAAAAUCUAAUCGGAAGCGUAGAAACCAGGAAC